CUCACAGCGUAUAUUUAAGUUGUUGCAGUUAAAAAGCUCGUAGUCGGAUUUUGGCUGAGAACGGUCGGUCCGCCGUUAGGUGUGCACUGACUGGUCUCAGCUUCCUGGUGAGGAGGUGUGCUUCAUCGCCACUUAGUCACCGUGGUUACUUUGAAAAAAUUAGAGUGUUCAAAGCGGGCUUACGCUUGAAUAUAUUAGCAUGGAAUAACACCAUAGGACUCCUGUCCUAUUUCGUUGGUCUCGGGACGGGAGUAAUGAUUAAGAGGAACAGUUGGGGGCAUUCGUAUUUCAUUGUCAGAGGUGAAAUUCUUGGAUUUAUGAAAGACGAACUUCUGCGAAAGCAUUUGCCAAGGAUGUUUUCAUUGAUCAAGAACGAAAGUUGGGGGCUCGAAGAUGAUUAGAUACCAUCCUAGUCUCAACCAUAAACGAUGCCGACUAGGGAUUGGCGGAUGUUAAUUGAUGACUUCGCCAGCACCUUAUGGGAAAUCAAAGUUUUUGGGUUCCGGGGGGAGUAUGGUCGCAAGGCUGAAACUUAAAGGAAUUGACGGAAGGGCACCACCAGGCGUGGAGCCUGCGGCUUAAUUUGACUCAACACGGGGAAACUUACCAGGUCCAGACAUAGUAAGGAUUGACAGAUUGAGAGCUCUUUCUUGAUUCUAUGGGUGGUGGUGCAUGG
rnacentral:rRNA from 1 species